CAAUAGCGUAUAUUAAAGUUGUUGCGGUUAAAAAGCUCGUAGUUGGAUUUCUGCCGAGGACGACCGGUCCGCCCUCUGGGUGAGUAUCUGGCUCGGCCUGGGCAUCUUCUUGGAGAACGUAGCUGCACUUGACUGUGUGGUGCGGCAUCCAGGACUUUUACUUUGAGGAAAUUAGAGUGUUUCAAGCAGGCUUACGCCUUGAAUACAUUAGCAUGGAAUAAUAAGAUAGGACCUCGGUUCUAUUUUGUUGGUUUCUAGAGCUGAGGUAAUGAUUAAUAGGGAUAGUUGGGGGCAUUCGUAUUUAACUGUCAGAGGUGAAAUUCUUGGAUUUGUUAAAGACGGACUACUGCGAAANCANNNGCCAAGGAUGUUUUCAUNGA
rnacentral:rRNA from 1 species